rnacentral:rRNA from 1 species
GACGAACGCUGGCGGCGUGCUUAACACAUGCAAGUCGAACGGAAAGGCUCCAGCUUGCUGGAGUACUCGAGUGGCGAACGGGUGAGUAACACGUGGGUGAUCUGCCCUGCACUUCGGGAUAAGCCUGGGAAACUGGGUCUAAUACCGGAUAGGACCGCACUUUGGUGUGUGUGGUGGAAAGGUUUUUCUGGUGUGGGAUGAGCUCGCGGCCUAUCAGUUUGUUGGUGGGGUAAUGGCCUACCAAGACGGCGACGGGUAGCCGGCCUGAGAGGGUGGACGGUCACAUUGGGACUGAGAUACGGCCCAGACUCCUACGGGAGGCAGCAGUGGGGAAUAUUGCACAAGGGGGGAAACCCUGAUGCAGCGACGCCGCGGGGGGGAUGAAGGCCUUCGGGUUGUAAACUCCGUUCGCUAGGGACGAAGCUUUUUGUGACGGUACCUGGAGAAGAAGCACCGGCUAACUACGUG